GACGAACGCUGGCGGCGUGCUUAACACAUGCAAGUCGAACGGAAAGGCCCUGCUUGCAGGGUACUCGAGUGGCGAACGGGUGAGUAACACGUGGGUGAUCUGCCCUGCUCUUCGGGAUAAGCCUGGGAAGCGGGGUCUAAUACCGGAUAGGAGCCAUUUUUAGGGUGAUUGUUGGAAAGCUUGUUCGGUGUUGGAUGAGCUCGCGGCCUAUCAGCUUGUUGGUGGGGUAAUGGCCUACCAAGGAGGAGACGCGUAGCCGGACCGAGAGGGUGGACGGGCACAUUGGGACUGGGAUACGGCCCCGACCCCUACGGGAGGCAGCGGUGGGGAAUAUUGCACAAGGGGCGCAAGCCCGAUGCAGCGACGCCGCGUGGGGGAUGACGGCCUUCGGGUUGUAAACUCAUUUCGCUAGGGACGAAGCUGUUUGUGACGGUACCUAGAUAAGAAGCACCGGCUAACUACGUG
rnacentral:rRNA from 1 species